rnacentral:RNase_P_RNA from 1 species
GAAGCUGACCAGACAGUCGCCGCUUCGUCGUCGUCCUUUCGGGGAGACGGGCGGAGGGGAGGAAAGUCCGGGCUCCAUAGGGCAGGGUGCCAGGUAACGCCUGGGGGGGAAACCCACGACCAGUGCAACAGAGAGCAAACCGCCGAUGGCCCACGUAAGUGGGAUCAGGUAAGGGUGAAAGGGUGCGGUAAGAGCGCACCGCGCGGCUGGUAACAGUCCGUGGCACGGUAAACUCCACCCGGAGCAAGGCCAAAUAGGGGUUCAUAAGGUACGGCCCGUACUGAACCCGGGUAGGCUGCUUGAGCCAGCAAGGCCAAAUAGGGGUUCAUAAGGUACGGCCCGUACUGAACCCGGGUAGGCUGCUUGAGCCAGUGAGCGAUUGCUGGCCUAGAUGAAUGACUGUCCACGACAGAACCCGGCUUAUCGGUCAGUUUCACUU